UACGUAGGGUGCAAGCGUUAAUCGGAAUUACUGGGCGUAAAGCGUGCGCAGGCGGUUUUGUAAGUCUGUCGUGAAAGCCCCGGGCUCAACCUGGGAAUUGCGAUGGAGACUGCAAGGCUUGAAUCUGGCAGAGGGGGGUAGAAUUCCACGUGUAGCAGUGAAAUGCGUAGAUAUCUGGAGGAACACCGGUGGCGAAGGCGGCAUCCUGGACCGGUAUUGACGCUGAGGCGCGAAAGCUAGGGGAGCAAACGGG
rnacentral:rRNA from 1 species